UACGUAGGGUGCAAGCGUUGUCCGGAAUUAUUGGGCGUAAAGAGCUCGUAGGCGGUCUGUCGCGUCUGCUGUGAAAACUCAGGGCUUAACCCUGAGCUUGCAGUGGGUACGGGCAGACUAGAGUGCGGUAGGGGAGACUGGAAUUCCUGGUGUAGCGGUGAAAUGCGCAGAUAUCAGGAGGAACACCGGUGGCGAAGGCGGCUCUCUGGGCCUUACCUGACGCUGAGGAGCGAAAGCGUGGGUAGCGAACAGG
rnacentral:rRNA from 1 species